CAUAUCAAUAAGCGGAGGAAAAGAAACUAACAAGGAUUCCCCUAGUAACUGCGAGUGAAGCGGGAAAAGCUCAAAUUUAAAAUCUGGUAGCCUUUGACUGCCCGAGUUGUAAUCUAGAGAAGCGUUAUCCGCGCUGGACCGUGUACAAGUCUCCUGGAAUGGAGCGUCACAGAGGGUGAGAAUCCCGUCUUUGACACGGACUACCAGAGCUUUGUGAUGCGCUCUCAAAGAGUCGAGUUGUUUGGGAAUGCAGCUCUAAAUGGGUGGUAAAUUCCAUCUAAAGCUAAAUAUUGGCGAGAGACCGAUAGCGAACAAGUACCGUGAGGGAAAGAUGAAAAGAACUUUGGAAAGAGAGUUAAACAGUACGUGAAAUUGUUGAAAGGGAAACGCUUGAAGUCAGUCGCGUUAGUCAGGGAUCAGCCUUGCUCUUUUGCUUGGUGCAUUUCCUGGUUGACGGGUCAGCAUCAAUUUUGACUGAUGGAUAAAGGUCAGGGGAAUGUGGCAUCUUCGGAUGUGUUAUAGCCCUUGGUCGCAUACAUUGGUUGGGAUUGAGGAACUCAGCACGCCGCAAGGCCGGGUUAUUUUAACCACGUUCGUGCUUAGGAUGCUGGCAUAAUGGCUUUAAUCGACCCGUCUUGAAACACGGACCAAGGAGUCUAACAUGCCUGCGAGUGUUUGGGUGGAAAACCCGAGCGCGUAACGAAAGUGAAAGUUGAGAUCCUUGUCAUGAGGAGCAUCGACGCCCAGACCAGACCUUCUGUGACGGAUCUGCGGUAGAGCAUGUAUGUUGGGACCCGAAAGAUGGUGAACUAUGCCUGAACAGGGUGAAGCCAGAGGAAACUCUGGUGGAGGCUCGUAGCGAUUCUGACGUGCAAAUCGAUCGUCAAAUUUGGGUAUAGGGGCGAAAGACUAAUCGAACCAUCUAGUAGCUGGUUCCUG
rnacentral:rRNA from 1 species